rnacentral:rRNA from 1 species
GAUGAACGCUGGCGGCGUGCCUAAUACAUGCAAGUCGACCUUGGUGGGGACGGGUGAGUAACCCGUCGUUAACCUUCUAUAAAACUGGGAUAACUUCGGGAAACCGGAGCUAAACUGUGUACUUAUAGACUGAUCUGCGUUGCAUUAGCUAUUUGGUAAGGUAACGGCAUACCAAGGCAACGAUGCAUAGCCGACCUGAGAGGGUGAUCGGCCACACUGGAACUGAGACACGGUCCAGACUCCUACGGGAGGCAGCAGUAGGGAAUCUUCCGCAAUGGGCGAAAGCCUGACGGAGCAACGCCGCGUGAGUGAUGAAGGUCUUCGGAUCGUAAAACUCUGUUAUUAGGGAAGCGGUACCUAAUCAGAAAGCCACGGCUAACUACGUGCCAGCAGCCGCGGUAAUUC